rnacentral:rRNA from 1 species
UAAUACGAAGGGGGCUAGCGUUGUUCGGAAUUACUGGGCGUAAAGGGCGCGUAGGCGGUGUGUCAAGUCAGGCGUGAAAGCCCCGGGCUCAACCUGGGAACCGCGCUUGAGACUGGCACGCUCGAGUUCGGGAGAGGAUGGUGGAAUUCCCAGUGUAGAGGUGAAAUUCGUAGAUAUUGGGAAGAACACCGAUGGCGAAGGCAGCCAUCUGGACCGACACUGACGCUGAGGCGCGAAAGCGUGGGGAGCAAACA